GACGAACGCUGGCGGCGUGCCUAACACAUGCCAGUCGAACGAAGAGCGACGGAAGCUUGCUUCUAUCAAUCUUAGUGGCGAACGGGUGAGUAACGCGUAAUCAACCUGCCCUUCAGAGGGGGACAACAGUUGGAAACGACUGCUAAUACCGCAUACGAUCUAACCUCGGCAUCGAGGAUAGAUGAAAGGUGGCCUCUACAUGUAAGCUAUCACUGAAGGAGGGGAUUGCGUCUGAUUAGCUAGUUGGAGGGGUAACGGCCCACCAAGGCGAUGAUCAGUAGCCGGUCUGAGAGGAUGAACGGCCACAUUGGGACUGAGACACGGCCCAGACUCCUACGGGAGGCAGCAGUGGGGAAUCUUCCGCAAUGGACGAAAGUCUGACGGAGCAACGCCGCGUGAGUGAUGACGGCCUUCGGGUUGUAAAGCUCUGUUAAUCGGGACGAAAGGCCUUCUUGCGAAUAGUGAGAAGGAUUGACGGUACCGGAAUAGAAAGCCACGGCUAACUACGUG
rnacentral:rRNA from 1 species